ACGGACACGGAUGUCCGUGAAAUUGAGCAGCAGCGAGUUUGCCCCGCAAACUCGACGUUGACCAGUGUACACGGAAGUACACUGGUCAACGGGC
rnacentral:sRNA from 1 species